UCAAGUGAAUAAGCGUGCACGGUGGAUGCCUAGGCAGUCAGAGGCGAUGAAGGACGUGGUAACCUGCGAAAAGCUUUGGGGAGGUGGUAAACAACCUAUGAUCCAGAGAUAUCCGAAUGGGGAAACCCACCCAGUGUAAGCUGGGUACCCUAUACUGAAUACAUAGGUAUAGGGGGCGAACCGGGAGAACUGAAACAUCUAAGUACCCCGAGGAAAAGAAAUCAAUUGAGAUUCCCCUAGUAGCGGCGAGCGAACGGGGAUUAGCCCUUAAGCAUUUUAAGAUUUAGCGGAACAAACUGGAAAGUUUGGCCAUAGUGGGUGAUAGCCCCGUACGCGAAAAGUCUUUUAGUGUGAAAACGAGUAGGUCGGGACACGAGAAAUCUUGACUGAAUAUGGGGGGACCAUCCUCCAAGGCUAAAUACUCCUGACUGACCGAUAGUGAACCAGUACCGUGAGGGAAAGGCGAAAAGAACCCCUGUGAGGGGAGUGAAAUAGAUCCUGAAACCGUGUACGUACAAGCAGUGGGAGCCGAUUUAUUCGGUGACUGCGUACCUUUUGUAUAAUGGGUCAGCGACUUAAUUUUAGUAGCAAGCUUAACCGAAUAGGGGAGGCGUAGGGAAACCGAGUCUUAAUAGGGCGCAUAGUUGCUAGGAUUAGACCCGAAACCGGGCGAUCUACCCAUGGCCAGGUUGAAGGUUGAGUAACAUCAACUGGAGGACCGAACCCACGUAUGUUGAAAAAUGCGGGGAUGAGCUGUGGGUCGGAGUGAAAGGCUAAUCAAGCCCGGAGAUAGCUGGUUCUCCUCGAAAGCUAUUUAGGUAGCGCCUCGUGUCUCACCAUUGGGGGUAGAGCACUGUUUCGGCUAGGGGGUCAUCCCGACUUACCAACCCGAUGCAAACUCCGAAUACCAAUGAGUGCAAUCACGGGAGACACACGGCGGGUGCUAACGUCCGUCGUGGAAAGGGAAACAACCCAGACCGUCAGCUAAGGUCCCAAAGUGUAUGUUAAGUGGGAAACGAUGUGGGAAGGUUCAGACAGCUAGGAGGUUGGCUUAGAAGCAGCCAUCCUUUAAAGAAAGCGUAAUAGCUCACUAGUCGAAUCGGCCUGCGCGGAAGAUAUAACGGGGCUCAAACAUACCACCGAAGCUACGGAUGCAGAUUUAUCUGCAUGGUAGAGGAGCGUUCUGUAGGCCGUUGAAGGCAAAGCUGAGAGGCAUGCUGGAGGUAUCAGAAGUGCGAAUGCUGACAUGAGUAACGAUAAGGGGAGUGAAAAGCUCCCCCGCCGGAAGACCAAGGUUUCCUAUCCAAUGCUAAUCAGGGUAGGGUGAGUCGGCCCCUAAGGCGAGGCUGAAGAGCGUAGUCGAUGGGAAGCAGGUUAAUAUUCCUGCACCACUCAAUAUUGCGAAGGAGGGACGGAGAAGGCUAGUCCAGCACGGCGUUGGUUGUCCGUGUUUAAGCGUGUAGGCUGGGAGUUUAGGUAAAUCCGGACUCCCUUAAGGCUGAGGCGUGAUGACGAGGUCCAUUAGGACUGAAGUGGUUGAUGCCAUGCUUCCAGGAAAAGCUUCUAAGCAUCAGAUAUUGAGUGACCGUACCCCAAACCGACACAGGUGGUCAGGUAGAGAAUACCAAGGCGCUUGAGAGAACUCGGGUGAAGGAACUAGGCAAAAUGGUACCGUAACUUCGGGAGAAGGUACGCCGGUUUUGGUGAUGAGACUUGCUCUCUAAGCUGAGGCUGGCCGAAGUGACCAGGUGGCUGCGACUGUUUAUUAAAAACAUAGCACUCUGCAAACACGUAAGUGGACGUAUAGGGUGUGACGCCUGCCCGGUGCCGGAAGGUUAAUUGAUGGGGUUAUCUUCGGAGAAGCUCUUGAUCGAAGCCCCGGUAAACGGCGGCCGUAACUAUAACGGUCCUAAGGUAGCGAAAUUCCUUGUCGGGUAAGUUCCGACCUGCACGAAUG
rnacentral:rRNA from 1 species